GACAGAGGGUGCAAACGUUGUUCGGAAUUACUGGGCGUAAAGCGCGUGUAGGCUGCUCGGUGAGUCGGAUGUGAAAGCCCUGGGCUUAACCUAGGAAGUGCAUUCGAAACUUCCGAGCUGGAGUUCUGGAGAGGAAGGCGGAAUUCUCGGUGUAGAGGUGAAAUUCGUAGAUAUCAAGCGGAACACCGGUGGCGAAGGCGGCCUUCUGGACAGUGACUGACGCUGAGACGCGAAAGCGUGGGGAGCAAACAGG
rnacentral:rRNA from 1 species